CACGUAGGGGGCAAGCGUUGUCCGGAAUCAUUGGGCGUAAAGAGCUCGUAGGCGGCUCAGUAAGUCGGGUGUGAAACCUCCAGGCUCAACCUGGAGACGCCACCCGAUACUGCUGUGGCUAGAGUCCAGUAGGGGAGUGUGGAAUUCCCGGUGUAGCGGUGGAAUGCGUAGAUAUCGGGAGGAACACCAGUGGCGAAGGCGGUUACCUGGAGCUUUGCUGACGCUGAUGCGCGAAAGCGUGGGGAGCGAUCCGG
rnacentral:rRNA from 1 species